rnacentral:rRNA from 1 species
UGGGGAAUUUUCCGCAAUGGGCGAAAGCCUGACGGAGCAAUACCGCGUGAGGGAAGAAUGCCUGUGGGUUGUAAACCUCUUUUUUCAGGGAAGAAAUUUGACGGUACCUGAUGAAUAAGCAUCGGCUAACUCCGUGCCAGCAGCCGCGGUAAUACGGGGGAUGCAAGCGUUAUCCGGAAUUACUGGGCGUAAAGCGUCUGUAGGUGGCUUGGUUAGUCUAUUGUUAAAUAUUAGGGCUUAACCCUGAGACAGCAUUAGAAACUUCUAAGCUAGAGUAUGGUAUGGGCAAAGGGAAUUCCCAGUGUAGCGGUGAAAUGCGUAGAUAUUGGGAAGAACACCAGUAGCGAAAGCGCUUUGCUUGGCCUCAGCUGACACUGAGAGACGAAAGCUAAGGUAGCGAAUGGGAUUAGAUACCCCCGUAGUCC